AUCAAAGUACGUACGUGCGUUCAUCCAUCCAUAAAUACAAGAGAAAGGAGCACACACCUAGCUACGAAAACCAUCUGAGUCCACGGUUUUUUCGCCCUAGCUACAUCUUCUCGUAGUUAGACCGCCUAUCAUCGUCACCGUCCUCAUGGAGAGCGAAUCCCCGUCGUCCUCGUCAGCGGAUCCUCACCCGUCGGCGCAACCCUAUGCCGUCGUCGACAUGGCUAUCAAGUGUUUGAACCAAGGCGCAUGCCGAGACAAGAUCGAGGCGUUGGCUGCCGCGUGCGUGGGGCAAGAACCACCACCGGACGCCGACGCCGACGAGGCCCGCGCCAGCGCGCGGGAGGCGCUGGUGAAGUGCAUAAUGGACGUCGUGGCAGCCGCUGCCCGUGAAACGGCGGAGCAGGAGGGAAAGUCGAGCUGAUUGUGAUCGACGCCGGUUCUCUCAUUACUCAUUAGCUAAUUGGCGCUAUAUACAACCUAGUUUCUUCAUGGAUGUUUUGGAUAGCUUAAUGAUGUGGAGUUUUUAUGAUGUAGAGUCGUAACUUAUUUUAGAUCCCUGCUAUUUGGUUUUGAGAGGGUUGUCUUGUGUACGCACAUCAUGUGCGCAGCUUUGUAAUGCUUUCAUCAUUAGUUAAUUCAGCCCUAUAUAUACAAUAAUGCUACACCCACGUAGAGCUACGUGAGUUUAUGUGCUGAUUAGGAUCGACG
rnacentral:lncRNA from 1 species